rnacentral:rRNA from 1 species
GUGGAGGAUCAUUACUGAGUUUACGCUCUACAACCCUUUGUGAACAUACCUAUAACUGUUGCUUCGGCGGGUAGGGUCUCCGCGACCCUCCCGGCCUCCCGCCUCCGGGCGGGUCGGCGCCCGCCGGAGGAUAACCAAACUCUGAUUUAACGACGUUUCUUCUGAGUGGUACAAGCAAAUAAUCAAAACUUUUAACAACGGAUCUCUUGGUUCUGGCAUCGAUGAAGAACGCAGCGAAAUGCGAUAAGUAAUGUGAAUUGCAGAAUUCAGUGAAUCAUCGAAUCUUUGAACGCACAUUGCGCCCGCCAGCAUUCUGGCGGGCAUGCCUGUUCGAGCGUCAUUUCAACCCUCAAGCUCUGCUUGGUGUUGGGGCCCUACAGCUGAUGUAGGCCCUCAAAGGUAGUGGCGGACCCUCUCGGAGCCUCCUUUGCGUAGUAACUUUACGUCUCGCACUGGGAUCCGGAGGGACUCUUGCCGUAAAACCCCCAAUUUUCCAAAGGUUGACCUC